rnacentral:rRNA from 1 species
CUACCUAGUGACCGAUAGCGUAUAGUACCGUGAGGGAAAGGUGAAAAGAACCCCGGGAGGGGAGUGAAAUAGAACCUGAAACCCUGCACUUACAAGCUGUGGAAGCACAUUUCUUGUGUGACCGCGUACUUUUUGUAGAACGGGCCAACGAGUUACGUUAAGUAGCAAGGUUAAGCACUUAAGGUGCGGAGCCGUAGCGAAAGCGAGUUUUAACUGAGCGUUCAGUUACUUGACGUAGACCCGAAACCGGGCGACCUACCCAUGAGCAGGAUGAAGCGAAAGUAAAAUUUCGUGAGGUCCGAACCCACGAGCGUUGAAAAGCUCGGGGAUGACUUGUGGGUAGCGGUGAAAUUCCAAUCGAGCCCGGAGAUAGCUGGUUCUCCCCGAAAUAGCUUUAGGCUAGCCUCAAGGUGAGAGAUACGGAGGUAGAGCACUGAAUGUCCUAGGGGGUAUUGCACCUACCGAAGACUAUCAAACUCCGAAUGCCGUCAUCUUAUACUUGGGAGUCAGACUGUGGGUGAUAAGAUUCAUAGUCGAAAGGGCAACAGCCCAGAUCGUCAGCUAAGGUCCCUAAAUGUAAGUUAAGUGGUAAAGGAUGUGGGAUUGCACAGACAACCAGGAUGUUGGCUUAGAAGCAGCCACUCAUUCAAAGAGUGCGUAAUAGCUCACUGGUCGAGUGAUCCUGCGCCGAAGAUUUCCGGGGCUAAAACUUACUACCGAAGCUACGGCAUCAGUAAUGAUGGGUAGGGGAGCUUCCCAUACGGGUUGAAGCAUGACCGUAAGGACAUGUGGACAGUAUGGGAGUGAGAAUGUUGGCAUGAGUAGCGAGAUGUGGGUGAGAAUCCCACAGGCCGUAAACCCAAGGUUUCCAGGGGAAGGUUCGUCCGCCCUGGGUUAGUCGGGACCUAAGCUGAGGCCGAAAGGCGUAGGUGAUGGACAACAGGUUGAUAUUCCUGUACUACCGAUAACCGUUUGAGAGAAGGGAUGACACAGUAGGAUAAGCUAAGCACACUGUUGGUUAUGUGUGCCCAAGCAUUGAGGCAGUCAAAGUAGGCAAAUCCGCUUUGAUAAUGCUGGGAUGUGAUGGGGAGCGAAAUUUAGUAGCGAAGUAGCUGAUUUCACACUGUCAAGAAAAGUCUCUAUCGAGGUUAAAGGUACCCGUACCGCAAACCGACACAGGUGGGUGAGGAGAGUAUCCUAAGGCCAGCGAGAGAACUGUUGUUAAGGAACUCGGCAAAAUGACCCCGUAACUUAGGGAUAAGGGGUGCCACCAUCAGGUGGCCGCAGAGAAUAGGCCCAAGCGACUGUUUACCAAAAACAUAGGUUUCUGCUAAGUCGCAAGACGAUGUAUAGGAGCUGACGCCUGCCCGGUGCUGGAAGGUUAAGGGGAUCUGUUAGAGCAAUCGAAGCAGUGAACUUAAGCCCCAGUAAACGGCGGCCGUAACUAUAACGGUCCUAAGGUAGCGAAAUUCCUUGUCGGGUAAGUUCCGACCCGCACGAAAGGCGUAACGAUUUGGGCACUGUCUCAACAACAGACUCGGUGAAAUUGUAAUUCCGGUGAAGAUGCCGGAUACCUGCGACAGGACGGAAAGACCCCAUGGAGCUUUACUGUAGCUUGACAUUGGGUCUUGGUACUACAUGUACAGGAUAGGUGGGAGGCUUUGAAACCAGGACGCCAGUUUUGGCGGAGCCAUCCUUGGGAUACCACCCUUGUAGUACUGGGACUCUAACCAUAGGCCAUGAAUCUGGUCUUGGGACACUGUCAGGUGGGCAGUUUGACUGGGGCGGUCGCCUCCCAAAAGGUAACGGAGGCGCUCAAAGGUUCUCUCAGUACGGUCGGAAAUCGUACGUAGAGUGUAAAGGCAAAAGAGAGCUUGAUUGCAAGACAUACAGGUCGAGCAAGGAUGAAAAUCGGACUUAGUGAUCCGGUGGUUCUGCGUGGAAGGGCCAUCGCUCAACGGAUAAAAGCUACCCUGGGGAUAACAGGCUUAUCUCCCCCAAGAGUCCACAUCGACGGGGAGGUUUGGCACCUCGAUGUCGGCUCAUCACAUCCUGGGGCUGUAGUAGGUCCCAAGGGUUGGGCUGUUCGCCCAUUAAAGUGGUACGCGAGCUGGGUUCAGAACGUCGUGAGACAGUUCGGUCCCUAUCCGUCGCAGGCGUAGGAAAUUUGAGAAGACCUGUCCUUAGUACGAGAGGACCGGGAUGGACGUACCUCUGGUGUACCAGUUGUUCUGCCAAGGGCAUGGCUGGGUAGCUAUGUACGGAAUGGAUAAGCGCUGAAAGCAUCUAAGCGCGAAGCCAACUUCAAGAUAAGAUUUCCCACCGCAAGGGUAAGACCCCAGAAAGACUAUCUGGUUGAUAGGUCGAAGGUGUAAGUGCAGCAAUGUAUUUAGCUUAUCGAUACUAAUAGGUCGAGGACUUGACCAA